ACUAAGCAUAUCAAUAAGCGGAGGAAAAGAAACCAACAGGGAUUGCCCCAGUAACGGCGAGUGAAGCGGCAACAGCUCAAAUUUGAAAUCUGGCCCCCCCCGCGGGGCCCGAGUUGUAAUUUGCAGAGGAUGCUUUUGGCGCGGCGCCUUCCGAGUUCCCUGGAACGGGACGCCAUAGAGGGUGAGAGCCCCGUCUGGUCGGACGCCCAGCCUCUGUAAAGCUCCUUCGACGAGUCGAGUAGUUUGGGAAUGCUGCUCUAAAUGGGAGGUAUAUGUCUUCUAAAGCUAAAUAUUGGCCAGAGACCGAUAGCGCACAAGUAGAGUGAUCGAAAGAUGAAAAGCACUUUGAAAAGAGGGUUAAACAGUACGUGAAAUUGUUGAAAGGGAAGCGCUUGUGACCAGACUUGGGCGCGGCGAAUCAUCCGGCGUUCUCGCCGGUGCACUUCGACGCGCCCGGGCCAGCAUCAGUUCGCGGCGGGGGACAAAGGCGCCGGGAACGUGGCUCCCCCGGGAGUGUUAUAGCCCGGCGCGCAAUGCCCCGCGGCGGACUGAGGUUCGCGCAUCCGCAAGGAUGCUGGCGUAAUGGUCACCAGUGACCCGUCUUGAAACACGGACCAAGGAGUCGUCCUCGUAUGCGAGUGUUCGGGUGUCAAACCCCUACGCGCAAUGAAAGUGAACGCAGGUGAGAGCCUCACGGCGCAUCAUCGACCGAUCCUGAUGUUCUCGGAUGGAUUUGAGUAAGAGCAUACGGGGCCGGACCCGAAAGAAGGUGAACUAUGCCUGUGUAGGGUGAAGCCAGAGGAAACUCUGGUGGAGGCUCGCAGCGGUUCUGACGUGCAAAUCGAUCGUCAAACAUGGGCAUGGGGGCGAAAGACUAAUCGAACCUUCUAGUAGCUGGUUUCCGCCGAAUUCCCC
rnacentral:rRNA from 1 species